AACGAACGCUGGCGGCAGGCUUAACACAUGCAAGUCGAACGAGAUCUUCGAAGCCAGCGGCGGACGGGUGAGUAACACGUGGGCAACCUGCCUCAUCGAGGGGAAUAGCCUUUCGAAAGGAAGAUUAAUACCGCAUAAGAUUGUAGCUUCGCAUGAAGUAGCAAUUAAAGGAGCAAUCCGCUAUGAGAUGGGCCCGCGGCGCAUUAGCUAGUUGGUGAGGUAACGGCUCACCAAGGCGACGAUGCGUAGCCGACCUGAGAGGGUGAUCGGCCACUUUGGGACUGAGACACGGCCCAGACUCCUACGGGAGGCAGCAGUGGGGAAUAUUGCACAAUGGGGGAAAACCUGAUGCAGCAACGCCGCGUGAGUGAUGACGGUCUUCGGAUUGUACAACUCUGUCUUCAGGGACGAUAAUGACGGUACCUGAGGAGGAAGCCACGGCUAACUACGUGCCAGCCGCCGCAGUAA
rnacentral:rRNA from 1 species